UCAUAGUCCGUCAAUGGGUUACAUUGAGCCUAUGGAGUUUGCUAGUUUAGGGUUGCUCGCAAUUGCAUUCAUUAGCAUAUCUUCACCACAUGAUGAGAUGAGGAAAUUGGGUUAUGAGGCUCUUGGAAGAUUCAAGACUGCAUUAGAGAGGUGUCAAAAGAGGGAGGGUUUAGUGCGACUUCGGCUUUUGUUGACGUAUUUGCAAAAUGGUAUAGAAGAUCCUUGGCAGAGGAUUCCUUCUAUCAUUGCUAUGUUUGUUGCAGAGGCUUCUUUCAUAUUACUGGACUCUUCACCUGAUCAUUAUUUAACCAUAAGUAACUUUUUGUUGCGCUCUCCGAGGGUGAAUGUGAAGGUAUCUGCUUUCUGACUGCAAGGAAUCAGAUUAUGCUAUUUUCAUUUAGUUUAGCAGUUGGCCUUAUAAGUGUAUACCAUUAUUUGAAACUUUUUUUUGGAGCAACACUGUGAAGUUUAGGACACUCAGACUUUGGAUACUUCGUCUCUUGUAUGCUGGGCUAAAUUCAGAUGAUGAUGCUCAAAUAUAUAUCAGGAACAACAUCCUUGAGAUUCUACUGGCUUUUUAUGCCUCUCCGCUUUCGGAUUAUGAGUCAAAGGAAUUGAUCCUUCAGAUAUGUGCAUGGAGAUGUAAAGCCUGUGAACUUUUUGCUUGGUCCGCCAGGGACACCUGAUGAGAAAAAACUGUUCCUUGUUGACCUUGGAUUGGCAACUAGGUGGCAUGAUGGUUCUACUGGUCUACAUGUUGAUUAUGAUCAACGGCCAGAUGUUUUUAGGUACCCAGUAUUUACAGCAAUCCUAUAAAGUGAGCGGGUCAUUUCCAUUCAAGUGGA